GUACUGCUUUUGAGACCCCGCUGCGCCUGCGCGUGUUGCUGGGAGUCAGGCUGCAGCGCCAGAGCACGUGUGUGCGCAGAACUGCGGCCCAGGCUCCCUGCUGGCGGCCCUUCUGACCCCAAGCAGCACUG